GGCACGGUACGCCAAUCCGGCAGAGCGGUCGGGCUUAAACCCCGGCGGAUGUCGGUUCGAGUCCGACCCGUGCUA
rnacentral:tRNA from 1 species